GCUCGCGGGCCCAGUGGUGCGUGCCUGUAGUCCCAGCUACUUGGGAGGCUGAGGUGGGAGAGGAUGGCUUGAGCCCAGGAGUUCUGGGCUGUAGUGUGCUAUGCCAGUCGGGUGUCCACACUAGUUUGGCAUCAAUAUGUUGACCUCCCAGGAUCAGGGGACCACCAGGUUGCCUGAGGAGGGGUGAACCGGCCCAGGUCGGAAACGGAGCAGGUCAAAACUCCCGUGCUGAUCAGUAGUAGGAUCGCACCUGUGAAUAGCCACUGCACUCCAGCUUGGGCAACAUAGCGAGACUCCGUCUCU
rnacentral:SRP_RNA from 1 species